CAGAGGAGCAGGCGCAACACUACCCUGAUUCUGUCACUGGAUUAAGUGGGCACGAGGGUUUCGGUGACAAAACUUUCAAGGCAAUAAAGAAGGGCAGCUGGACGCUGCAAGCUAAUUCCCACCUUGCUCCCACCUCAGCCCGGGGGACCCAGGCUCCAUGUGGCAGGUUGCCGAGUGCAUGGUCUUAUUUCCAUAAAACGCGAUUUUUCCAAGAUGCCUGCAGGGGCAGGUCUCUGUGCCCCACAUGUUCAGAGAGCUUUCCUUACCUAUGGACUGACAUUUUGGGGUGGGGUGGGCCGGAGAAGGGUGAGGCAUUUCACUGUGGCUGUUCUUGCCAGCCCCUCGCAGAGCUGCUGCCUGUGGAAGCCAGCUGCCGGUAUCAGGGCAGGGGGAGCAGGGGGUUCAGGAGGGAGGGAGGCAGCCUCCUGCCCCUGGAUAGAGGUGCGCAGCAGCAUGUUGGAGGGAACCUUCAGGGUGGGAGGGAAGCGCCUGGCUCCACAGCCAGCCCUAGCUCUGUCCCGACCCCAGCUCUGCACUCGCUGUGUCUCUGGACUUCAGUUUCCUCAUUUGUAAAAUGUCCCCACCCACAGGCCUGUGGCGAGGCUUGGGCUGGCACACGGAGGAGGCACCACCAGCAGGGCCAAGACCGCCUUUGAUGAGGUGAGGCCUGCGGCACCGGUUCUGCCCUGAAGGCCGGCCACAGCCACGGGGGAGCGAAAGGCCUGUGGGGCGGUGGCCUCCUGUGAGUUCUCAGCUGUCAGGGUGCUGCCAGGCUGCCCCACCACUCAGGGCACUCACAGGGGACUCCUCAAGGGGGUGUGCAGGGGCCACAGUGGCCCUGAGGCGGUGGCGCAGCAGCCCAGCGUGGCACCUGCUGGCCCCAUUAUGAACCCAUAAUGGGAAAGAGCUUCUCGUCACUCCAGCUCACUGUGGCUGCCUGCCUCCCGGACCGCCCCCCGAGGCCCAAUGCCUCCGGCUAGUGAAGUGCCGUCGGGCGAGUGCCCUCCUGCUGUCUGGCCCCGGUUCCCCCCCGGAGGGGCCACCCUGCUCUGGCUUCUUGGCCAAGGGCUCCUGGGCGCCUACCGAGGGGCCCUGGGAUACCUGGGGAACCGUCGCUUGUCCUCGCGCCCCAGAGGCUGAGCGGGGAGGAGUCCUUGGUAGCAGGGUUUGAGGGUGCCCGUCAGCUUGGGUUUCCUGGUCUUGCCCCAUUCUGUGUUCGUCCAUGAACAGGUCUGGUGACCCCAAGGGCCUGCCUCCUUCAGGAGGGCGUGGAGGAGCUUCAGAGCCUGGCACCAUCCUUGGGUUUGCAGAUGGCCUUUGGGGAAGCUGCUGAGUGCAGCCUGGAGACUGUGGGCUUUCCUCAGCCCCAGGUUCAGCACCCUCGGGACCAGGAGCCCAGGCCAGGCCAAGUGCCUUCAGCACUUUCUCCACAUCGUUUCAGAAAAGCCUUUUGAAUGGGGUCAGCAGUGAGCUAUGCCAGAGGACCCCUCUCGGCCUUCCCCAGGAACAGGCCUCCUCCAUCCGCCCCAGCCUGCCCCCACUCUGCUGCCGGCCAUGGGCCUUCCACCCUCAUCAGGGCAAUGGGCUGUGAAGAAAGCUCUGGGCUGCGCGGAUUACAACGAUUACCCUGGACGGCGAGAUCUCCUUCUACCAGUGACCACCCAGACUCUGACUGGUCGAAAUAGAGAGGACUCACUGUCUGGGGCCUCGUUAGAACUGCCGAGGCCACGGCUCUCAGCGCUGCUCCUCAAAUGCCAAGCCCUUCUCUCUGGUGUCAUCAGGGUGACAUAUAGCCGAGGAAAAGGGGGUGGGUGGGCCCUGGCCCCCACCAGGAGGGCUCAGAGAAGCUGGUGUGUGAUCUGAGAUGUCAGAGGGACAAGGGGAAUCUGACUCCUGCCUGUCAGGGCCUCAGACACCCAUCUUGUCACCCAGUGUCUCUCGAGCACAUCCCAGACAGAAGGGUGACUGGAGGCCAGGAGGUCUGCAGCCCUGCUCCUCCACCACGGAGGGGCGUCCAGGCCUCUCUGCCGUCCAAGCAGCAUUCCAAAGCGGCGUCCCGGCCAAGGCUCCGCAGAUCUUCCCCUUGAGUCCGCUGUCUCGCUGGGUCUCAGUCCCAGCUGGGCACCUCAAGGCUGCUGCGAGGAGGCCCCCUAUGAGGAUCCUGGGACUGGCACUGAAUGAGCCAAUUCCUCUAGCUCCGUAAUUGCAGCUGAGCUCCCACAUAGAUAAAAAUCAGUCCUGCAGAGCGGGCAGCCCGCUGGGCACCUCCAUGGGCAUCUAGGUAACGAGAACAGAGCCCGGCCUUCCGAUAUCCCAAGCUCGGGCAUUGUUGCUCCCAGCUCCCACCGGGGGCUCCCCACCGCCUGGCCUGCGAGUCAUGAUUCACUCCAUGUUCGGGCCAGCACUCCUGAUUCCAGCCUCUUCAAGACACUCCGCUGGGGCCCCACCCGAGGGCCAGGUGCGGGGCUUUGUGGUGGCUCCCACUAGCUGGGGUCAGCGCCAGCAACUCCGGUGGCCACAGGAGGUCCUCGGUAAUAGCUGAUGCCCAAGUGUGAGAGAGGGUAUGGGGGACUCAAUGGUGGGCCCCAAAGACAUCCAUCACCGAAUUUUUGGGACUUGUAAAUGACACUUUAUAGGGCAAAUGGGAUUUUGCAGCUGUGAUGAAAUGUUGGCUCCUGAGAUGGGGGCAUUAUCCAGGUGGGCCCCAACGUACCCACAAGAGCCCUCAUGACAGGGAGCCCGAGAGAGAAGGGCACAGAAGAGGGGAAGACGCCAGGCUGACGCACACCAGAGGCUGUGGUGACACAAGGCGGGGACCGAGGACCGCGGGUGGCCUCUCCAUUUUCCAUGGAAAACAUAAGGAAACAGAUUCGCCCCCAGAACGUCCAGAAGGCACCUGCCCGCUGACACCUUGACUUAGCCCAGCGAGACUGAUUUUGGACAUCUGGCCUCCAGAAUCCUCGAGAUCUAAGAGAGUAAACUUAUGUUGCUUGAAGCCAUCGGCGUGGUGGCAUCUGUCACUGCAGCCACAGGGAUGAGCACAGGGGCUUUUGAGCCUUCCGGGCUGUGCUGGGGCUUGGGGAAGGGCAGGUUUUCUCCGGCUGUGUCUGUCACCAGGGCCCAGGUGACCUGGGUAUGUGCCCUGUGCAGGAUCCUCAGCUGUUGUCCAGAGAGGGCAGGGGGCUUUGUCACAGCUCUUCAGGCUGGUGCCCCUGGAAGACACCACAGGCUGUGGGGCGGGAGGCUCCGGGCGUGACUGCGGGAGGCCUCUUUCCAAUUACAUGGCCGUGGGCUCAGAUGUGGCUCUCCUCCCUGUCUGCUGGGGAAACGCCUGCUUCACCUUCCCCUUUAGGGACUGCAGGAGUGGGGAGGGGGUCACUUGGCACAGAGCCCCUGCCCCGUUACCCUUGGAUGGGCCGGCUAUGGGUGGCCACAGCAGCCUGCUGCUGUGUGAGGCCGGGGCUGCUAGGGUUAGGUCAGCG
rnacentral:lncRNA from 1 species